UACGUAGGGGGCAAGCGUUGUCCGGAAUCAUUGGGCGUAAAGCGCGUGUAGGCGGCCAGAUAAGUCCGCUGUGAAAUCUCGAGGCUCAACCUCGAGAUGUCGCCGGAAACCAGUCGGCUAGAGUCCGGAAGAGGAGAGUGGAAUUCCUGGUGUAGCGGUGAAAUGCGCAGAUAUCAGGAAGAACACCUAUGGCGAAAGCAGCUCUCUGGGACGGUACUGACGCUGAGACGCGAAAGCGUGGGGAGCGAACAGG
rnacentral:rRNA from 1 species